rnacentral:rRNA from 1 species
UACAGAGGGGGCAAGCGUUGUUCGGAAUUACUGGGCGUAAAGGGCGCGUAGGCGGCCUGUUAAGUCGAACGUGAAAUCCCCGGGCUCAACCCGGGAACUGCGUCCGAUACUGGCAGGCUUGAAUCCGGGAGAGGGAUGCGGAAUUCCAGGUGUAGCGGUGAAAUGCGUAGAUAUCUGGAGGAACACCGGUGGCGAAGGCGGCAUCCUGGACCGGCAUUGACGCUGAGGCGCGAAAGCGUGGGUAGCAAACGGG